GAAAUGCGAUAAGUAAUGUGAAUUGCAAAAUUCAGUGAAUCAUCGAAUCUUUGAACGCACAUUGCGCCCGCCAGUAUUCUGGCGGGCAUGCCUGUUCGAGCGUCAUUUCAACCAUCAAGCCCCCGGCUUGUGUUGGGGACCUGCGGCUGCCCGCAGGCCCUGAAAAACAGUGGCGGGCUCGCUGUCACACCGAGCGUAGUAGCAUACAUUCUCGCUCAGGGCGUGCUGCGGGUCCCGGCCGUUAAACGACCUUCAUAACCCAAGGUUGACCUCGGAUCAGGUAGGAAGACCCGCUGAACUUAAGC
rnacentral:misc_RNA from 1 species